CUUUAUGAAAUCUAAUUAUUUGAAAGUUGGAUUAUGUACAUUUAAUUUUUCAACUGUCAGAAAACAGGAUUUAUUUUAGCCAGAUAUGUCAUUGCAAUCUGAAUAAGCAGGAAUUUUCUAUGCCUAUUAAAUGGAUUAUUUCUAGAAGGCACAAAUUCAGAUGGUUAAUUUUGAAUUAUCCCAAGAAGAUCAGUAUAUAACUGCUAAGGGUGAAUUUAUACAAGGCCCCUGAAUAAUAGCUAUUAAACAACUCCGGGAGUAAAACUCAUUAUUGAGACAUGUUUUCUGGAACUUAAAAGCCUCAUCAACUAUCAUAUCAUCACCAAAGAUAUUAUAAAAGCUUGCUAUGAUAUGCCGAAUUUAAAUGUAUCAUUCUUAUUGAAUAUCAGUGCUGUGACUGGAUCCUAUUCUACUGGUAAAAAUGGAGAAUAUUAUGAUUAAUUUACUGAAUUAUCUUAAUUGAUUACAUUUGCUGCUAACUUGAAACAUUGUAACCAUAUCAAUUUCUCAUUAUACCAGUUCAAUUCUUUCAUUUCCGUCAUAAAAGAAAUGCUUAAUAGAUUGGAGUCUGAACAUAAGACUAAACUGGAGCAACUUCAUAUAAUGCAAGAACAGCAGAAAUCUUUGGAUAUAGGAAAUCAAAUGAAUGUUUCUGAGGAGACGAAAGUUACAAAUAUUGGGAAUCAGCAAAUUGACAAAGUUUUUAACAACAUUGGAGCAGACCUUCUGACUGGCAGUGAGUCCGAAAAUAAAGAGGACGGGUUACAGAAUAAACAUAAAAGAGCAUCACUUACACUUGAAGAAAAACAAAAAUUAGCAAAAGAACAAGAGCAGGCACAGAAGCUGAAAAGCCAGCAGCCUCUUAAACCCCAAGUGCACACACCUGUUGCUACU
rnacentral:sRNA from 1 species